AGAAUCAACGCUGGCGGCGUGCCUAACACAUGCAAGUCGAACGAGAAAGUGGUAGCAAUACCAUGAGUACAGUGGCGCACGGGUGAGUAACACGUGACUAACCUACCCUGGAGUGGGGGAUAACUGAGGGAAACCUUAGCUAAUACCGUAUAAUACCUACGGGUCAAAGGAGCAAUUCGCUUCAGGAGGGGGUCGCGGCCGAUUAGUUAGUUGGCGGGGUAAUGGCCCACCAAGACAGUGAUCGGUAUCCGGCCUGAGAGGGCGCACGGACACACUGGAACUGAAACACGGUCCAGACUCCUACGGGAGGCAGCAGUGGGGAAUUUUGCGCAAUGGGGGAAACCCUGACGCAGCAACGCCGCGUGGAGGAUGAAGUCCUUCGGGACGUAAACUCCUUUCGAUCGGGACGAUAAUGACGGUACCGGAAGAGAAGCCCGGCUAACUUCGUGCCAGCAGCCGC
rnacentral:rRNA from 1 species